UACAGGGGGGGCAAGCGUUGGUUCGGAAUUACUGGGCGUAAAGGGCUCGUAGGCGGCCAACUAAGUCACACGUGAAAUCCCCAGGCUUAACCUGGGAACUGCGUGUGAUACUGGAUGGCUUGAAUCCGGGAGAGGGAUGCGGAAUUCCAGGUGUAGCGGUGAAAUGCGUAGAUAUCUGGAGGAACACCGGUGGCGAAGGCGGCAUCCUGGACCGGUAUUGACGCUGAUGAGCGAAAGCCAGGGGAGCAAACGGG
rnacentral:rRNA from 1 species